GGGCACAUAGCUCAGCGGUAGAGCGCUUCGUUCACAUCGAAGAGGUCUCUGGUCCAAAUCCAGAUGUGCCCA
rnacentral:tRNA from 1 species